CCCAAUCUCAAGGGGUGCUUUUAGAAAUAAAGGCUGAGAUAAUACCCAAGGAACCUGGGCGAGUAAUGUCGCUAAGGGAAAAGAUUUAGAUAGAUA
rnacentral:ncRNA from 1 species